CCUCGUCCCUAGAGAGAAGAGGCGAGGGCGGACGAGCCGAGUUUGUGGCGUGAUAACAAGGGUUUGUUGGCUUCGGGAGAGUGUCUCAGUUCAUCACUGAUGUGGUAUUGCUGUUGGACAUUUUGAGAAACAGAGAUUCUGAGGUACCAAAUGCUGACCAAAAGGCUGCAGUCACUACUGUUCAUCUCCAUCCCAUUGCCAGGAAUGCAUAUUGUGGUGAAGCUCAAUACAUCAUGUGAGCAGUCCAUUUCCUCAUUGGAAGGAACUUUUGUCCACAGUUGCCUUGGGAAGUUCUUUAAAGGCGAUGUAACAGAACUGCAAGAAUGAGAAUGAAAGAGAACAACAAAAAACUCUCCUGCGCCCAAAUGAUUAAGUCCUAGAGAGAAAUGAACAUGAUGAGAAAGCUGAAAUCUCCUUCAAGCCUUCUUCCUCUGGAAUCUCCAAACACUCAGCAACUGGGAGUUACAACAACUUAUUAGUCAGCAUUUGUUCCUUGCAAAAUAACGCUAACAAAGAAAUACACAAGGAA